GUGAGGAGGAAAUAUAAACAGCACAUGCAUGUACAGCAUAUUUAUAAUGUUUCAAUGUGACAAAUGCACAGGCGAAAGGUGAAGACGACGAGCUCUCACAGGAGAAUCAUCUAACCAUUACACGCUCUGAAACAGGAGGUGCUGCUUUACUCCUGCAUGUCCUGAUGGUUACAGAAGACGGCGGCCGGGGAAUAAGGCUACGAGUAACCUUAAACCCAUUAAAAAUAAUCAUACUCAUUUGUAAGACGGGCUGGAGAUGCACUUCCUCACUGCAGCUGAACAGGCGACAGACGAUCCGCUCUGUGGCGCUCUGAUAGCAUGAAUUAUUAAGCGUGUGUUAGGGGAGCAGGCGACUUUAAGAUGUUAACUGAUGGACUGGAGUGCUGUGGAUUACUUGUGGAUUAUUGUGAUGUUUUUAUCAGCUGUUUGGACUCUCAUUCUGACGGCACCCAUUCACUGCAGAGCAUCCAUUGCUGAGACACUGAUGCAGUGCUACAUUUCUCCAAACCUGAUGAAGACACACUCUCAUCCUGAUCUCGGAUGCACUGAGAGUGAGCACAUCUUCAGCAAAUGUCUAUUUUUUGCUGAACUAUUCUUUUAAAAGACAAGAUUAAAGAGGAAACUGAUGCAAAUGAAAUCUCAAUUGAGUAUUGUGCACAAUGACACAAGAACAUCCAAAGAGAGAUGGAUAAUUAGCGGCGAUCCACUGCUAAUGUGGUUUCACAGAGGUUAACUCACCGCACACUGUCACUAACUACCCUCCUCGAGUCCUGACCUGCUUCAAAACAUUGUGAGUGAGAGUGGCAGCUCUUUAUAGCCACGCGUGGCCUUCUUUAAUGCAGCGAUGUGUACAGUGCUCAUUUACUCACGGCUCCAGGGAACGUCUCGCUGUCAAUAAUUUAGGGCCGAUGUUCAUUUGAACCUUUCCCCCUCAAACAAAACAGCCUUUGUUCCGGCCGUGUCCGACAGCAGAGUGGGCUCACAGAAUCGCUGGAGGCCUGAAGCACAUAAAGCGCAUUAUUAGCCCAGACGUACACAGAGUCGUUAGAUUCACGCGAGACGCAGCGCUCUGAUGCAGCACUGAUGCUGAUGCUGGGCUUCACCUGUCACACGCCUGUGAUGUCACACACGGCAAAAAAAGCUGGAGAUCCAACCGGCUAUAAAAGAUCAAUAUACAGAUAGACUUCUAUCCAUCCGUCUCUCUGUCUAUCAGAUGCUGGUAUCCAAAGCAGCUCAAAUAUUCAUGUAUGAACAUGCUUUCUUUUACCUCUCAGUUUCUUUUAGCAAACAGCUGGUUUGGUUAAGGGCUUAUUGCUCAAUCUAGCCUUCAUUGCUUCAGUUCUUUUAAUGAGUGUGAGGCCGGUGUGUUUUAAUUCAUGAACAAUAAACACCCUCCAAACAGUAAAUUCAUUUAUGCAUAUUGUUGCACACUUGUGCUUGUAAAAUUUCAAACCAGAAGCUUUAAGAUUUGUUCUUUUCAGUCACUAAUUGAAACUAAUAGGCCUUUUCCACAAAUGACAUGAAGCCUUUCCAGUGCUAUCAGAGCUAAAAAGGUUUUUUCCUAAUGGAUAUUUUGGAAAAAUGACAGGAAACAAUGUGCUUUUUAUCCUUCAGUUUGUGAAGAGAGCAUAAAGAAGCUUGUGACGAAGGCCGUCUGCAACCCAGAACAUCUGCAAGGCUUUGAAAGCCAACAAAACAACCUCUGUUGCCACAAUUUAGAGAAACUUUACAAGCUCUUUUCCAAGUGUGAUGAGCGCUUGCCAGUUGAAAGCACUAAUAGCUUGUGGAUGAAGGCAGAAAGACACGGCACUCUCUACCCAGAGAUCUCAGAGUUACUGCAGAACCGAGCCAGACCUCGCAACUCUUCAACACACGCAGAGCGAAACAGACACUUUCAACCCAGUUAAAGUUUCAACUGCAUGGAAGUUUAUGAACAACUGCCUGUUUGCUCCAGGGACACGAAGAGAAGAAGAGCACACACUUCUGAGAGAAAUGAAGCACACUCAGAUUACACAAGAGACCAACGUUUAACACGUCUCUCUUUACUCUAAACCGAUACUAAAGAUCGCAAGCAUUCACUGGCUCAGACUCAGUAUGGCUGGAGUUUUAGUUGAGAAAAGCCACGGAUAUAACAAACACAAUCAGAGGCGCAGACAGAGCUACACAAGAGUAAUUGUAGACUAUGGUCCGAUGCACCGUGUAAAUUCAUCCCCAGCUUUGCAUCAGUGCACAGACAUCAAAAUAAUAUGGAAAUUCUGUCUGAAUUAAGUGAAUAAGCCCUUUUCAUCUGGUGCCAUAAGGCAUGUAAAGCAAUGACGUGGAAUAAUCUGUCAUUGGGUUUUGUGGCCGUCAGCAGUAAAAUAUGAAGCUUUAUUCCACUUGCCUUCAAACGCCUGUAAGACUGUUUAAUGUGUUAACCAAACGCCCCGCAGGACUCACGCUGAUGAUAAUGGAUCAGGAAAAACAAGCAAUAUUCAGCUCGCAUAAACAGAUUUGCUCUCUGAGGAGACGCAUAGGGAAAUUAUAUUCACAACUGAGAUAUCAAUAAAACACACAUCCCUCCGAGAGAACAGAAAAACGUCUGAGAAAUGGAGGGGAAAUCAUGUUUUGUUAAAUAUUUCUUAAUGACAUUUGUGCAGGACUCCAAUUAUAUCUUGUUUAUACACUUAAUCAAAAUCUAUGUCUUGUUUUCUAGCAAAGAAAAGAAAAGAAAAGAAACAUCCUUAAAAUAAGAUACAUUUACUUUUUUUGUAAACUAUUGUUUUAAUAACUGAAAUAAUACAUAAUAAACCUCAUUCAGUUUUGUUUAAAACUUCAUUCAAACUAUACAUUCCCUGAAAAAAAAAACUAGAUUUUUUUAUUGCUUGCUAAGUUACCUUGUUUUGAGACACAUUUUUAUCCUGUAAAGCAU
ensembl:lncRNA